GACGAACGCUGGCGGCGUGCUUAACACAUGCAAGUCGAACGGAAAGGCCCUGCUUUUGUGGGGUGCUCGAGUGGCGAACGGGUGAGUAACACGUGAGUAACCUGCCCUAGACUUUGGGAUAACUUCAGGAAACUGGGGCUACUCUCGGAUAGGAGCUCCUGCUGCAUGGUGGGGGUUGGAAAGUCUCGGCGGUUGGGGCUGGACUCGCGGCUUAUCAGCUUGUUGGUGGGGUAGUGGCCUACCGAGGCUUUGACGGGUCGCCGGCCUGAGAGGGUGACCGGCGACAAUGGGACUGAGAGACGGCGCAGAGUCCUACGGGAGGCAGCAGGGGGAAGUAUGGCACAAUGGGCGGAAGCCUGAUGCAGCAACGCCGCGGUCGGGAUGACGGCCUUCGGGUUGUAAACCGCUUUCGCCUGUGACGAAGCGUGAGUGACGGUAAUGGGUAAAGAAGCACCGGCUAACUACGUG
rnacentral:rRNA from 1 species